UCAGGAUCACAACAGUUUACCGGAGCGGGGCCUUCUUCGUAUCACCCUAUGCCGCCACCAGGAGGAUAUCAAGGAGUUUAUUCCUAUCCACCACCAACACCACCUCCAACACAGGGGUGGUCUCAAGACAACGACGAGGUCUCCUUCGACGACUUUACACGGUUGUUUGCUACGCCUGCCCAGGAUGAUGAUCCCAGCUUGCAUACACCUCUGGCUCAGUUACGCCGUCCUGCCAGAGAUGUGAGGCUACCGGACCGUCAUAGCUACCCUACAGAUCACGUACACGCACAUCGUAAGAGAGGUCGGCACGGUAGGGGUGGUUAGUUGUUGCCACUUGUUUCUCUAUUGUUAUUAUGGACCUGUCGUCUUGGUUUUCAUAUUUUGUACUCAAAUUUCGUUUAUGCUACCUUGCAAUGCAAGCACACUUUUGCAGUA